rnacentral:rRNA from 1 species
UACGAAGGGGGCUAGCGUUGCUCGGAAUCACUGGGCGUAAAGGGCGCGUAGGCGGCCUGGUAAGUAGGGGGUGAAAUCCUGCGGCUUAACCGCAGGGCUGCCUUCUAAACUGUCAGGCUCGAGCACGGUAGAGGCAGAUGGAAUUCCCGGUGUAGCGGUGGAAUGCGUAGAGAUCGGGAAGAACAUCAGUGGCGAAGGCGGUCUGCUGGGCCGUUGCUGACGCUGAGGCGCGACAGCGGUGGGGAGCAAACAGG